UGAGGAAUAUUCCGCAAUGGGCGAAAGCCUGACGGAGUGAUGUCGCGUGAGUGAUGAAGGCCUUCGGGUUGUAAAGCUCUUCGGAUAGGGAGUAAGAAAACUCGGAUAAUAUCCGGGUAAUUUGACAGUACUUAUACAACAAGCACCGGCUAACCCCGUGCCAGCAGCUGCGGUAAUACGGGGGGUGCAAGCGUUGAUCGGAUUGACUGGGCGUAAAGGGAGCGUAGGCGGUCAAAUAAGUCAGUUGUGAAAUUCCGGGGCUCAACCCCGGAGCUGCGACUGAAACUAUUUGACUAGAGGAUGGUAGGGGAAAACAGAAUUCUGCAUGUAGCGGUGAAAUGCGUAGAUAUGCAGAGGAAUACCGGUGGCGAAGGCGGUUUUCUGUACCAUUCCUGACGCUGAGGCUCGAAAGUGUGGGGAGCAAACAGG
rnacentral:rRNA from 1 species